UAUAAGUGGAUUUCCACCUCUGUCUUUCUGACCAACAGAAGUGUUGAGGUCGGGCUGUGCUUUAAGAACUUAAUUCGUAGUUAUUAUAUAUUACCGUCGAGUUGCCGUCUUCUGCACUUCCUAAGGUAUCUUAUAUAAAUCUCCCCACCACAUCGCAAAUGACGUAAUAAAUAGCAGCAGGUCCUCUCGACAACAUGCCAG